UGCCCUUGCAGCCCGCCCCGCCCUGCAACCCUCAGCCGUGCAGUGAGCACUGUUGGUGGGAGAGACCGGUGGCUCUCAGGAGAGCCUGGACUGCAGGCCUCUCUACCGGCACUACUGUGUGACUGAAAACAACUUGGGCUUCCCCGUGGUUAAAUGUGCAGAUUGCAGCUCAACUUUAUUUCCUACUAUUUUAGGAUGAAUCUCUCCGCCAUGUAAAUACCAGCACCAUAAAUUGCAGUAUUUUAUUCUGCACCAUCCCCGCAGCCCACAGUCAGCGCCGCCUGACAAAGUGGGUCCAGCGCCGCACCGAAUCCUGCUUUCCAUGGCUCUUUUCUUUGGUACUGGGGAGCAAACUCAGGCCCUUGAGUUUGCGAGGCAGGCAGCGGAACCACUGAGCCAAAUCCCCGACCCUUCCACGGUUCUCACAUGGAACGUGCAGGACUUAUUUCUCCCUGGGUAAUUUCUUCCUAACAACCACUGAGAGUAGACAAUAAGUACUUCAGUGGAAGGACCUUGCAUAUAUACAAACUUUAGUAAAAUAUGGGAAUUUAUGACCAGAUCUACUUACAUAAAACAAAACAUUUCAUGUGGCUUUGGUUCUUUUUCUUCUCAAAAUACUGUACUCAGGGAAGUGUAACUAAAUUUUGUUAAAAAUAAGCCACACUCAUAUACAAAUUCCCCCACCUAACAGCUGGAACCUGUUUUUCCUCCUGUUUUUUCUCAUCUUCCAGAGCUUUAUUGUUAGAGUAAGAUGUGUCCUGUCCUUUGCUCAUGUUUGUUGUCUUAUAGUCUCUGUAGUCUAAACAACUAAUUUAUUAACAUUUUAUUCUUCUGCCAGUUGCUUUUUUGUCAUAUGGAUACUGCCUUGAAACAUUUCCAUGCUCUGAAAAAAGUUGUUCCAAGUGGUUUGAAAUUUUAGAAGAAACGGCAUCACCCAUAAAGGAACAACAAACCAAAACCAGUAUCCGAAGGUGCUUCAGGUGAUUUUUCAUGGUGGCAAAAGUCAUCCCCAAGAAAUUGCCUCAAUACAGCACAGUUCCAGCUUUUUGUGGGACAAGAAGAAAGAUGUCUUGAAGACAUCUCAAGAACCAACAAAACCUCAUCAAUCAAAAGCUCAAAGACAAAUCCCACACUAAAUGUCUUGGAUGAAUUCAAGAGAAGUGGGCAUCUACACUAGGAGAAGACAGUGGGGGAAGAGGAUGCAGAAUUGCAGUCUGGGGCAGGGUGGGCUGCAAAGGAGGUAGAAGAACGGAGAUAGAAGAAGAAUGCUCCAAACAACUAACCGAUGCUGUGGCCAGGGGCCAGCACAGUCUUCUUCUGCUUGGAAAUUCCUUCACGGCGCACACUUUGAAAUCCGGGGUGUGCUACAAGCAGCCCAUCUCAGGGUGCUGGACCUUAAGUCCCAAGUCUCUCACACGUGCUGGUGAUUCAGGAACACACCACACAACAUGUGACUGAUAUGGGGGCCAAAUAAUCGAUGAUAGCUGGGAGCAUGUACUGCACUUUCAAAUGGAAUCCCGGACCAAACUUCAGGAAUUUCGGGUUUGGUGAUGAAUGUUGAGCUUCCACCAAGUUCACCAAAGUUCACUUAUAGGGAGCCUGGAGUGAGUUAAGGCAUAAAUGAGAACCAGCCGAAGCGAGGCCUGAAAACACACUCCUCGGGACAGACAGCUGUGCUGCUCCCUGCCCGGCUUCCGAUGGGAACCACCUGGAGCGCGGGCAGCACAGCCUGGGCCGGACGCCUGCGCGGUUCCUGCGUCCAGCAGUUCUCUCCGCGGCGGCUUUACUCCAGCUCCAUCCUGCCAGACAGCAGGAUGCCCACCUGCCAGCAGGAAACAAGAAGGGCUCUAGGCACUGCUGUUCUCGGUUGGCAACCUUUGAGGCGUUGCCAGGAAAGGGGACCGGAGUGACAGUCGUCUCUCUCCUCCUGAAGUUCCCCCAGAGCUCUGGUGAAUGCACCCUGCUUGCUCUUUCGGAGUAUCAGCUGAAAGCAGUUCCACCUUUUCUCCUUGCAGUGAGCCCUGGGGCUGAAAAUGCACUGCAUGGUGAUAAUGACCUGGAGAGGAGAAGAGAGGAGGCUGAGAUCUGACCGCCCUAGGAGUGGCGCUGUUAGGUGCACAGCCACUUGUAGCCGAGGAGUAAAUGGCUGGAGAAGAGGAGUGGAAGGGGAGGCUGGGAAAGAGGAAAACUUCAACUGGAGCUCUGUCACGAGGGGACUGUGAGAAGUGGUGUUUUCUGGGGGAUUUGUGCAGAAGUUUUUACAUUCCUUAAAAUUAAGACAGACUUAAUGGAAUGAACUCAGAAAACAUCAGAAAAGGGAUAAAGAUCAAUGACCUAAAAACCUAGAUAGCUCUUUCACACAUUUUUUAUCUCUUCUAGAUUUCUUCCACAUCCAUGCAUAUCGGAAUCUAUGUUUAUGUGCGCCAACAUCCAACUCGCUCUCCGUCUUCUGCAGCAGUGUCUACACACAGCGCAGUCCUCAAACACCUACACCUACCUGCUAACCCAAGUGGUGCCCCUGUGGUCUGCCUUCGGAUCCCUCCAGUCCCAGGCACAUCCUUUCUUCACCUCUGUUUUCCAUCAUGACCCAUGGAAAUUCUGCUUUUCUAAUUGCUCAGGCUAAGAAUCUUGAAUUCAUUCUCUACUCCCCCCACACACACUUCUAAUGCAUCAGCAGAAUUGAUUGAGCCUGUUUUAUAUUUAUGUAGACUCUAUCUAGGUCUCCUCUACUGCCCACCACUGGCAAGAAAGGCCCUUGGGCCACCAUCAUCUCUGCGCGGGUUGUGAAGAAAGCCUCUUCACUGAUCUCUGUGCUUUUGCCUUGAUCUCUCUUUCCUCCCACUGUAACGAGCCUUCAAAAUUAUGGCUUAGGCCAUUCAUUCCUCACCAAGGCCUCUGAGGGCUUCCAAUCUUAUUCAAAGUCAAACCCAGAGUUUCUAAAUUGGCUAAAGCGAUUCAGGGGGUGUUGGCAUUUUGAAUAAACAGUGUUUUCUCUGUGCAGAAUGUGUCUCAGAUUAAAGAACUUUGAUAUCCCUGCCUGUCUCCAGGGUGAGUAGGGCCCCGUAGCCACUGGACAACCAGAAAUACUCACACAUUUUCAAAUCCUCCUCAAAGUGACAACACAAGCUCCAGUGGAGAAGGAUUUGGGCUUCACACCCACACUUUGUCCUUUGCGCACCACUGUCGCUCCCCUGUGGCUUCCUGUGCCUCUGGGA